CCGAGAGUCUGCACCGAAAGCGCCUGGGCUCUGCCCUUGCGCCGACGUGUAGCUCAUACCUUACCCUUGCUUAUGCGCACCUUUUGUUAUUUUCCUCGGCGGGUCCGCUCGCCGAAGGGAAGCCCGUCAAACCUAUUGUAUUAUAGCAUCAAAACUUCUGACCGAAACCUAAAUAUUUA
rnacentral:misc_RNA from 2 species